UAUGAUUCCGCGUCGCGAUGCUUCUCAACGAGGACCAAGAAUAGCAAACUGUUUUCCAACGGAAAAAAAACACACGGCAGUGUAACAGGACGUAAAGGCAGGGAGAUAUUCAGUAUUUUUCUGCAAAGAAAGUGCCAGCCAGUGCCAGCCAGUGAGGGAGAGUCCGCGUGAUGGUUUAACGUUACACACAGUGAGUUCAGAGCCUGCCUGCUCAACAGGAGACCUCUUGGUUCAGGAAGAUUUGAGCAUAAAUCAGAACAGCCCUGUACACCCAGCUGUCUCUAGGGAUGAAACAGAUGAGAGUGAAAGUGAUGUGAAAGAGAUGGAUACUUGUCACCCACCUUCAGAAGUGUAAUCUGAGCUUCCACUUACUUCUGAUACUGCUCUUACUGGACCUGAUGGCCGUUAUUGUGUCAUGACUCAGUCGAUGUGAAAAGAGGAAAUGAGAAACACAGGAAGAGUUACAAAUGUUCUCAUGAAGAAAUAUAAGUAGAUGAUGAGAAGAGACUCAGUAAGAGAAACACAACAUGACUGAGAAGAGUGAUAUAUGUCUGCUGGGACUGAUCCUUCUCUCUUCACUAUUCACAGGUGUGAGUGGAGCACAAGAUGUGUUCAUCAGUUCUGGUGAAAGUGUGUCUCUGUCCUGUAAUGAUGCUCUUCAUCAAUGCUCCUCAACUACAUGGAUCUAUAAUAAUUAUACAAGAUCAUCAUCUGAAGAAGUGUUUACUGGAGGAAUAAAGAAGAAUAACACAGAGAGAUCUGAGAGACUGAGUCUGACAUCUGACUGCUCUCUCAACAUCUAUAAAACAACACAACAUGAUAAUGGACGUUACACCUGCAGACAAUAUGUGAAUGGACAUCAACAUGGACCUGAUUCACGUGUUUAUCUACAUGUUCUUCAUGGUCAGUGUUUCUCUUCAUUUAUAUGAACACAUGUUUAACUUCAGAUCACAGUUCUCUUUAUCUCUUGUGUUUUCACUGAAACUCAUGAGUACUGAGAGU